rnacentral:rRNA from 1 species
UCUUCUUGUAUUAAUAUGAGGUCGGGCCUGUCCACUGAAGUAUAUUUGAAGGMCCGCGGUAUUUUGACCGUGCAAAGGUAGCAUAAUCAUUAGUCUCUUWAUUGGAGGCUGGAAUGAAUGGUUUGACGAAAUAAUAACUGUCUCUAAAUAUAAUUGAAUUGAAUUUUACUUUUAAGUUAAAAGGCUUAAAUGAUAAUAAGGGACGAGAAGACCCUAUAGAUCUUUAURNUAUAAUUUAUAUUAUUUAUUAUGGUUGUUAAUAUUANUUAUAAUUUAUAUUAUUUUAUUGGGGUGAURUGAGAAUAUAAUAACUUCUUAAUUUUUAACUUUGAUAGAUGAAUAUUUGAUCCUUUAAUAUGGAAUUAAGAUUAAGAUACCUUANGGAUAACAGCGUAAUCUUAUUGAAGAGUUCUUAUUGAUAAUAAGGAUUGCGACCUCGAUGUUGGAUUAAGAAUAUAUAUUGGUGUAGAUGCNAAUAUUAUUAGUCUGYUC